rnacentral:rRNA from 1 species
CAUGGCAUUUGUAUUAAACGCUCCGGCGCCAUAGGAUGGACCCGCGUCCCAUUAGCUAGUUGGUGAGAUAACAGCUCACCAAGGCCACGAUGGGUAACCGGUCUGAGAGGGCGAACGGUCACACUGGAACUGAGACACGGUCCAGACUCCUACGGGAGGCAGCAGUGGGGAAGAUUGCGCAAUGGGGGCAACCCUGACGCAGCAAUACCGCGUGAGUGAAGAAGGUUUUCGGAUCGUAAAGCUCUGUUAUUGGGGAAGAAAAAAAGACGGUACCCAAGAAGAAAGUUCCGGCUAACUACGUGCCAGCAGCCGCGGUAAUACGUAGGGAACAAGCGUUGUCCGGAUUUACUGGGCGUAAAGGGCACGCAGGCGGUUUUUUAAGUCAGAUGUGAAAGGCCACAGCUCAACUGUGGACAUGCAUUUGAAACUGAAAGACUUGAGUAUUGGAGAGGCAAGUGGAAUUCCUAGUGUAGCGGUGAAAUGCGUAGAUAUUAGGAGGAACACCGGUGGCGAAGGCGGCUUGCUGGACAAAUACUGA